rnacentral:rRNA from 1 species
GAUGAACGCUAGCUACAGGCUUAACACAUGCAAGUCGAGGGGCAGCGGUAUCGACAGCUUGCUUUCGGUAGCCGGCGACCGGCGCACGGGUGAGGAACGCGUAUCGAACCUGCCUCAUACUCGGGAAUAGCAUUGCGAAAGUAAGAUUAAUGCCCGGUGUUUUCAGAGUCCCGCAUGAGGCUUUGAACAAAGAUUUAUCGGUAUGAGAUGGCGCUGCGUCCCAUUAGCUUGUUGGCGGGGUAACGGCCCACCAAGGCAACGAUGCGUAGGGGUUCUGAGAGUAAGGUCCCCCACAUUGGAGCUGAGACCCGGUCCACACUCCUACGGGGGGCAGCAGUGAGGAAUAUUGGUCAAGGGGCGGUAGCCUGAACCCGCCAAGUAGCGUGCAGGAAGACGGCCCUCCGGGUUGUAUGCUGCUUUUAGUUGGGAAUAAAGCGGGGCUCGUGAGCCCCCUUGCCUGUACCAUCAGAAAAAGGACCGGCUAAUUCCGUG